GUGCUUAUUUACAUAAAAACCUUGCCACAGGCUGUUUAAUUUCCUCUGGAGCAUCUAUUCAUUUAGACAUAAAUUAUCCAAUGACUACCAGUUGACUUACAUUUAACUCCACCUCUGGACCUCUCAAGGGUACACCAGAAGAGAGCAACAGUUAAAAAUAACUAAAGGAAACCUAUCUGGAAGCUGAUACUGGAAAUAAGCUCCUAUAGUGGAAAGUUUGCUGUGAGCAGGGCAGGCUGGUGCAGAGCUACUUGCUGUUCCCAGUCAUUUUGGCAACGUGGAGCAUGAGCUGCAGAACAGGGAGUGCUGACAGUGUGGAUGAACGGGUGCAUUGAAGGGGAGAGCUGCUUUGGCUGUAUGGUACAUCUUAGGAACUAUGCUGCUGGAAGCAGCAUUUUCCUGGGCUGGGCAUGUGCUCCCGUCUGCUCUCAUCCCCCUGACCUCCAGGGCUAGUCUUUAUCUCAGACUUGGAUGCAGAAGAAUCACACAAUCACAGAAUCCCAGAAAUGCAGGGAUUGGAAGGGACCUCAAGAGAUCAUUGAGUCCGGCUGUAACAGGUUCCCUACAAGAAGCUGCACAGGUAGUUAAGGGUUAUUUCUGGGGAGUUGUUUAUAUGUGGAUUCCUGUCUUCUCUUCAUUCUAUAUCCCUAAGUCCCCAUUAAGAUUUACAAGAACUGAAAUAAAAAUAGGAUUGUCUUUGUAGUGAAGAAAACCAUUUGCAAAUAAAGUUUUCUUUCUAAACUUUUAUUUGAAAGUUCUCAUUUAUGGAGCUGUUGGCAGGAGACAAAGUCUCAAGUUAUGUGCACAAUGAUGGGGCAAACUCUGCUGCUCAAGAAGAUCAAGGAGGUUCUACGUGGUGACUUUCCCCACAGAUCACAGUCUCAUGUUUUGCGUUUUGAGACUAUUUUCACUGUAUGGUCAGUGGAGCUGGAAGACAUUUUCUAGGUGAAU
ensembl:lncRNA